rnacentral:RNase_P_RNA from 3 species
UCGGAGUGCCGGAUGGCUACUCCGGCGUUACGUCGGAGAGGAAAGUCCGAACACCCUCCGCGUCGCAAGGCGCGGUGCGUCGAGCCUCGGCUCGAUGGGAAGCCGUUAACGACGGCCGGGUAUAAGAAUCGGGAGUCGAGGCAUUGGAGAAAUCUAUGCUCUGGUUCCGGACUCAAAGCCCAGGGAAAGUACCACAGAGACAAUACUAUCCCACGUCGCUCCUUUGGAGCGAUGUUUGGGAGAAAGGUGAAAAGUACGUCGAGGUUCGCGUCCUGCCAUUCGGCAGGACGGUGGCCACGGCGUUCGUCUCCCGGUAACGGGAUGACGUGGCAAACCCUUCCCGGUGCAAGAACAAGUUUGGUAGUUCGCUAGAGCUCCGGCGCAAGUCGGAGACAAGAGAGAUUGCCAUCUCCUCCGCGCAAGCGGGGCAGACAAAAUUCGGCUUACAGACACUUCCGAAGAC